AGCGUACACGGUGGAUGCCCUGGCAGUCAGAGGCGAUGAAGGACGUGCUAAUCUGCGAUAAGCGUCGGUAAGGUGAUAUGAACCGUUAUAACCGGCGAUUUCCGAAUGGGGAAACCCAGUGUGUUUCGACACACUAUCAUUAACUGAAUCCAUAGGUUAAUGAGGCGAACCGGGGGAACUGAAACAUCUAAGUACCCCGAGGAAAAGAAAUCAACCGAGAUUCCCCCAGUAGCGGCGAGCGAACGGGGAGGAGCCCAGAGCCUGAAUCAGUGUGUGUGUUAGUGGAAGCGUCUGGAAAGGCGCGCGAUACAGGGUGACAGCCCCGUACACAAAAAUGCACAUGCUGUGAGCUCGAUGAGUAGGGCGGGACACGUGGUAUCCUGUCUGAAUAUGGGGGGACCAUCCUCCAAGGCUAAAUACUCCUGACUGACCGAUAGUGAACCAGUACCGUGAGGGAAAGGCGAAAAGAACCCCGGCGAGGGGAGUGAAAAAGAACCUGAAACCGUGUACGUACAAGCAGUGGGAGCACGCUUCGGCGUGUGACUGCGUACCUUUUGUAUAAUGGGUCAGCGACUUAUAUUCUGUAGCAAGGUUAACCGAAUAGGGGAGCCGAAGGGAAACCGAGUCUUAACUGGGCGUUAAGUUGCAGGGUAUAGACCCGAAACCCGGUGAUCUAGCCAUGGGCAGGUUGAAGGUUGGGUAACACUAACUGGAGGACCGAACCGACUAAUGUUGAAAAAUUAGCGGAUGACUUGUGGCUGGGGGUGAAAGGCCAAUCAAACCGGGAGAUAGCUGGUUCUCCCCGAAAGCUAUUUAGGUAGCGCCUCGUGAAUUCAUCUCCGGGGGUAGAGCACUGUUUCGGCAAGGGGGUCAUCCCGACUUACCAACCCGAUGCAAACUGCGAAUACCGGAGAAUGUUAUCACGGGAGACACACGGCGGGUGCUAACGUCCGUCGUGAAGAGGGAAACAACCCAGACCGCCAGCUAAGGUCCCAAAGUCAUGGUUAAGUGGGAAACGAUGUGGGAAGGCCCAGACAGCCAGGAUGUUGGCUUAGAAGCAGCCAUCAUUUAAAGAAAGCGUAAUAGCUCACUGGUCGAGUCGGCCUGCGCGGAAGAUGUAACGGGGCUAAACCAUGCACCGAAGCUGCGGCAGCGACACUAUGUGUUGUUGGGUAGGGGAGCGUUCUGUAAGCCUGUGAAGGUGUGCUGUGAGGCAUGCUGGAGGUAUCAGAAGUGCGAAUGCUGACAUAAGUAACGAUAAAGCGGGUGAAAAGCCCGCUCGCCGGAAGACCAAGGGUUCCUGUCCAACGUUAAUCGGGGCAGGGUGAGUCGACCCCUAAGGCGAGGCCGAAAGGCGUAGUCGAUGGGAAACAGGUUAAUAUUCCUGUACUUGGUGUUACUGCGAAGGGGGGACGGAGAAGGCUAUGUUGGCCGGGCGACGGUUGUCCCGGUUUAAGCGUGUAGGCUGGUUUUCCAGGCAAAUCCGGAAAAUCAAGGCUGAGGCGUGAUGACGAGGCACUACGGUGCUGAAGCAACAAAUGCCCUGCUUCCAGGAAAAGCCUCUAAGCAUCAGGUAACAUCAAAUCGUACCCCAAACCGACACAGGUGGUCAGGUAGAGAAUACCAAGGCGCUUGAGAGAACUCGGGUGAAGGAACUAGGCAAAAUGGUGCCGUAACUUCGGGAGAAGGCACGCUGAUAUGUAGGUGAAGUCCCUCGCGGAUGGAGCUGAAAUCAGUCGAAGAUACCAGCUGGCUGCAACUGUUUAUUAAAAACACAGCACUGUGCAAACACGAAAGUGGACGUAUACGGUGUGACGCCUGCCCGGUGCCGGAAGGUUAAUUGAUGGGGUCAGCGCAAGCGAAGCUCUUGAUCGAAGCCCCGGUAAACGGCGGCCGUAACUAUAACGGUCCUAAGGUAGCGAAAUUCCUUGUCGGGUAAGUUCCGACCUGCACGAAUGGCGUAAUGAUGGCCAGGCUGUCUCCACCCGAGACUCAGUGAAAUUGAACUCGCUGUGAAGAUGCAGUGUACCCGCGGCAAGACGGAAAGACCCCGUGAACCUUUACUAUAGCUUGACACUGAACAUUGAGCCUUGAUGUGUAGGAUAGGUGGGAGGCUUUGAAGUGUGGACGCCAGUCUGCAUGGAGCCGACCUUGAAAUACCACCCUUUAAUGUUUGAUGUUCUAACGUUGACCCGUAAUCCGGGUUGCGGACAGUGUCUGGUGGGUAGUUUGACUGGGGCGGUCUCCUCCUAAAGAGUAACGGAGGAGCACGAAGGUUGGCUAAUCCUGGUCGGACAUCAGGAGGUUAGUGCAAUGGCAUAAGCCAGCUUGACUGCGAGCGUGACGGCGCGAGCAGGUGCGAAAGCAGGUCAUAGUGAUCCGGUGGUUCUGAAUGGAAGGGCCAUCGCUCAACGGAUAAAAGGUACUCCGGGGAUAACAGGCUGAUACCGCCCAAGAGUUCAUAUCGACGGCGGUGUUUGGCACCUCGAUGUCGGCUCAUCACAUCCUGGGGCUGAAGUAGGUCCCAAGGGUAUGGCUGUUCGCCAUUUAAAGUGGUACGCGAGCUGGGUUUAGAACGUCGUGAGACAGUUCGGUCCCUAUCUGCCGUGGGCGCUGGAGAACUGAGGGGGGCUGCUCCUAGUACGAGAGGACCGGAGUGGACGCAUCACUGGUGUUCGGGUUGUCAUGCCAAUGGCACUGCCCGGUAGCUAAAUGCGGAAGAGAUAAGUGCUGAAAGCAUCUAAGCACGAAACUUGCCCCGAGAUGAGUUCU
rnacentral:rRNA from 1 species